GAUGAAGAACGCAGCGAAAUGCGAUAAGUAAUGUGAAUUGCAGAAUUCAGUGAAUCAUCGAAUCUUUGAACGCACAUUGCGCCCGCCAGUAUUCUGGCGGGCAUGCCUGUUCGAGCGUCAUUACAACCCUCAGGCCCCCGGGCCUGGCGUUGGGGAUCGGCGGAGCCCCCCGUGGGCACACGCCGUCCCCCAAAUGCAGUGGCGGUCCCGCCGCAGCUUCCAUCGCGUAGUAGCUAACACCUCGCGACUGGAGAGCGGCGCGGCCACGCCGUAAAACACCCAACUCUUCUGAAGUUGACCUCGAAUCAGGUAGGAAUACCCGCUGAACUUAAGCAUAUCUAAGCGGAGGA
rnacentral:misc_RNA from 1 species